ACCGGAAGUGCUAGCCACAGCGACUUCAGGUAGUCUCGGUCUUAGCGGAUUCCGCGGACUUUCUUGUCUUUCUGCGUACUGCACUAACUGAGCGACCAAUUGAUACCUAAGUUUAGCUGAACUUUUUGUUGAAUUAAUUAAAACUGUUUUGAAAUCUAUUCUGUAAGAGCCUGAGAAAAAUUGCGGCCACAGAAGCUGUUUUGAAAUGCGCUUGGCUUCCGACUUCCGCAAGGGGAGGCAGCUGUUUCUUGUAGUCUUGCUCUGUCACCUACACUGGAAUUCAGUGGCACAGUCUCAGCUCAGCUCACUGCAACCUCCACCUCCCGGGUUCAAGUGAUUCUCAUACCUCAGCCUCCUGAGUAGCUGGGAUUACAGGUAUGUACCACCACACCUGGCUAAUUUUUGUAUUUUUAGUAGAGAUGACGUUUUGCCACGUUGGCCAGGCUGGUCUCGAACUCCUGGCCUCAUGUGAUCCACCUGCCUCAGCCUCCCAGAGUGCUAGAAUUACAGGCAUAAGCCAACCACCCAACCACAUAAGUUGUAUAAUGUUUCAAUAUAUGGUUCCUC
rnacentral:lncRNA from 1 species